CGAGCGAGACCCGCUGGACAGAUGGCCAGCGCGGAGCCCGACUCCGCACUCAGCACGAUGCAACGGCCCGGCCCCAGCGCCUGCGGCCCCCUCCUGCUAGGACUGCUGCUCCCGCUCCUCGCAGCCGCCGCCGCGGACCCCAGCCCCAGCCCUAGCCCCAGCCAGGCCGUCGAGAUCGCAGUGGUCCCAGGCCGCCCGGCCGGCCCUGCUGCUUGUCGCUGCUGCCUAGGCCAGACCCUUAGGAGGAGCCGCUGCAUCCGAGGUGGGUUUUUCCAGGUGGGGCAUGGGAGGGAGGAGCAGGAGAAGAAGGGCUGGGGUUUCCAUUACCCAGCCUUCAUCCCAGCAGGACAGCUGGAUGCACUUGGUGGAGGAAAAGACUCAGUCUCCUCCUUCCCUACUUAGUCCCUGGCUGUCUCCGAAGCCUCCUGCAGGGUCCGAAACUGCCCAUCUGAAAAGUGUACAGGCCCACAGCGGUGUGUGACCCAACUACCUCCACUGCCAAGUCCCAGCCUCAGCCCCAGCCCUGGCCCUGGCCCCGGCCUGGGGAAGAGGCAGGUGUCUCUCAACUGGCAGCCACUGACGUGAGUGUGCAAUCCUACUAUACUACCAGAUCCUCCCUCAGGAACACAUCUCUCCUACUAUUGACUCCCUCUCCUCUCUCUCCUC
rnacentral:lncRNA from 1 species